UCGGGUCCAUGCAGACACCCGGUCGACCAGGACACCCCGUCCCAAGCGCUGC
rfam:Betaproteobacteria bacterium SCGC AG-212-J23 AG-212-J23.2, whole genome shotgun sequence.